GCCGCGUCCGGCUCCAAGCCUGCGAGGGUCGGCUCCGUUGGUCCGCUCUGCGGACCGCCGUUUGCGGCCUGUGCUGGCUGCUGGCGACCCGCGGAAGGGGACAGGCAGGCCCUGCCCUGGGGGAGCGCACGUGCCGGCGGGAGUCGGGAUACACCCGGCGAUCUCACGGGCUAGAGCCCCAGGGAAACGGGGCUGCGCGUCUUUGUCGUGGAAUGAAGGGAAGUCUGCCUUGGAGAGGGGCGGUCCUGGCCCCAGAACCAGCCGGGGGCUCGCGUGGGGCGGCUGGAGCCCAGGGAGCCGGUGGGAAAGCGGCUCCCCGGGAUGAGACAGCGUCCAGGCGCCAGCACCCCCAUGACUCUGCCUCGGGGAGACUGCUGGGGGCGCUCCGCUGACUCGGACACCCAGCGCCAGCCAGAGCCCGGGAGGACAUCCUUCCAUUUCCCUCCUACAGCCUGAGCGAUGAGCCCCAGUGGGCGGUGAAGGGAUGGGGGGUGGGGUCUGAGGGAGAAGGGCAUGGAGGAGGGGCUGACACGGAGGAGAGCUUGAGCAGGCCCAAGAAGACAGAUGCUGGCUCUCAGGCGAGUGUGGUGGGAGGAAAGCCGGAUGUCACAGGCGGGGGCCUCUGGCACCUGCCAGCUACAGGGAAGGCAGACAGCCCCGGGAGUGGGGAGAUCACCUUCCUUCUCCAGAAAACAACACACAAAAAGACUGAGUUCCUGGAGGUGACCUUGUGAAGCUGGGGGUGGGAAGCGCAAGUGGAAGAGCCGAGCUCUGGGUCAGGCAGCUGGGCCACGACCUCCACACCCAGGGUAGGGCUGAACACCCGUGAAUGUCGGGGGUUGUCUAUGCGUGCCCUGGCCUAGCUCCUCCUUAGCCAUCCGUGGCUGGGGUCUAGAGCCCCUGCAGGGACAGAGGCUGCUUCCAGACAUGGGUAUGCCGCAGACCACAGCCCCCAGCUCCCAAGUGCAGAGUCUCACAGGCCUGCCCACGUUGGCCCCAGCCCCACCCAGCUCAGCGUGUCCUGUCUCCUGGGGGCCUGGAACGGCCCUCCCAGGAAAGGAAGGGUGUAUGUACACUGAGCUCUAGGGGGAGCUGACAGCGCCCAUUCCUGUCCUGCUGCCUGCAUUAUUCCCUGCACCUAGAGCAGUUACCUAGGAGGCUUACUGGAUGAAUGCACCUAAUUGGACUCUAGCGUGCACUCUCCACUCUUCUUUUUUUUUUUUUUUUUUUUUUUUUUUUUUUUUUGAGACUUGAGUCUCGCUCUUUCGCCCAGGUUGGAGUGCAGUGGCGCAGUCUUGGCUCACUGCAACCUCUGCCUUCCAGGUUCAAGUGAUUCCUCUGCCUCAGCCUUUUGAGUAGCUGGGAUUACAGAUGCAUGCCACCAUGUCUGGCUAAUUUUUUGUGUUUUAUUAGAGACGGUUUCACCAUGUUGGCCAGGAUGGUCUCCAUCUCCUGACCUCAUGAUCUGCUUGCCUGGGCCUCCCAAAGUGUUGGGAUUACAGGCGUGAGCCACUGCGCCCAACCUCCCCACUCCUCUCCCGUCCACACCAGGCACUCUGCUGCUUGGCCUUUGGGCACUCUGCAGCCACCUGUACCUGUGUGAACUGGCACUUGCCUGGCGGUGUCUGUGAUCCACAGGCCCCAGGCUCCUGUAGCUCCUGCCCACCUGCUCACCCACACUGUCUCCCUAUCUCCCAUGCCACUUUGGCCACCUGUCCCCAGGGCAGGCAUGAAGCCCCUGGUCUAAUGCUCCAAGACCCAUUUGGGCACCGUGGUGCUCCUGUGGCCCUGUGUCUCAUGAGAAGACAGCUGGUUGCAAAGCCAGGGCUUUCUCUGGGAGGGUCUGUAGGUGCAAGGCUCAGGCACUUCCUGAGACAGGUAGGUAGAAGCCAGGGUUCGGCCAGGGCCCAGCCCAGGGUGUUUGUGAACAGGUGGACUUGGGUGUGGCUGAAAAGGAGAGGUUGUAGGAAGCUGGCCAGAGAAUCAGGGCAAGUGCCAAAGGUAAGGGGGUUGCUCGGCCCACGGGAAAGCCUCUCCAAGACAGGAGUGGAGGAGGCGGUGCAGGAGGGCACACGGGCUACCUCCUUUUCUAGUGUUUGCAGAAGUGUUUGGGCUGGGGGCAGAUGGAUGUAAGGCUAUGGGCCCCAGGGAGUGGUCAGGGCUGAAGAUGAAAAAGUGGAGGUUGUCCAAGGGUUAUUGGAGGCUGCCCCAGAGGAGCGGUCCUGUGCCUGAGCCCUCAGCGUGCCACAGUUGGGAGAGGAGAGAAGCAGCAAGGAACCUGAGGAGGGGCAGAAGGUGGGAGAACCCCCACAGUGCAUGACACCCAGUGGCUGCGCUCCUCACCCAUCCUCAUCAGCCCUGCGGCAGGCAGGUGAUCUGUGUGAAAGGGUAAGUCUCUUGCACGUGCAGUGGAAGUCCCAGGGCGGCGCUGGAGGUGACCCCCCUCCCCAGGUGUCCACAGAGGGCAUGGCACUCAUCAGGCAUCUGCAUCCGCUAACCUAGAGAAAGGACCGUGUUUGUGGGCCCUGCACAGCUGUGUCCCUCACACAGCCUCAGUUUCCCCCUUGAAAGCUGGGGGCUUCAUCUGCCUGGGCAGGGCCUCUGGCCUCCACCCCCACCCCGGCCCAGGCGAGAAUGGAAAGCCAUUUCUGGGGCUCAGCCCAGGGGUCCCUGGCCCUUGAGCCAUGGCUGUCUCUUUCCCAGGAUCCGAGGGGUUGGGGUGAGAGGAGGCAGCUCACACAGGGCCAGGUGUCCUGGAACACCCCCACCCAGGGGCUUUUAGCCUCGGAGCCUUGGGCUGUGGCUGUCCCAAACCUCACUGGCCCUUUAUGCGGCUGAAAGGCCGAGGAGGAAGGCGGAGACAGUGACAAUGGGGCCAGUGGCGGGAAACGGUCCUUAGAGACCCCAUUGUGCACCCCGCCCGCCGGAAACAGGCAACAAGCAGGACCCUGCAGAGGGGACCCCACACCCUUCGGGCUCCUCGCCACGUCUGGAUGCUCAGCACGUCGAAGGGGCCUGAGGACAGAGGGGCCCAUUCUUCCCCAAGGGCGGGACGGGGCCAAGGAUGACUCUGCGGGCUCACAGCAGCCAUGGGGGAAGUCGGCACCCUGCCAGCCUGCAGCCCCUUCCCUCACAGGCCUGGCUCAGAGCCGGAGCGCUGUGCGCCCGCCUGCCCCCACCGUACCCGAGGGACCCUAUGCCCCUCUGCCCCUUUCCUCUCCUGCUGAGCCCCAGAAGCACCUGGCACGGGAGGCAAGUGGGAGCCAGCCAGGGAAGCAGGCAAGGGUGCGGGCAAGGACGGGGCUGGUGGGUGCAGCAGAGCAGAAGCUUGCAUGAGUGCAGGUCCCCACGUGCCCCCCACCCAGCAGCGGCCCCUCCCCGGAAUGUGGGUGUAGCUCCUCCUGACAUCUGCUCUCCCUCUCAGUUGCCAAAUGGUCUUGAACAAGAUACCAUUCCCCUGAGCCUCAGUCUCCCGCCAGGAGGCAGGAAUUGGAGCCAUCCUCACAGCUGCGAGGCAGGCCCAAGGCUGGGCUGGACACAGGAGACCAGGUCCACAGCAGCUUGCGUGAACAGAGUUCUUAUUGAUAGUCCCAUCACCUCCAAAGCAGUGGGCCCACCCUCCCUCCUACCAGCCCCUCCCCAGCACCCAGCCCCUCAGUGCAGCGCCACCUCGCAGGGGUGGAGGUGGGCAGCACGGGCAGCCUCGUAGGCACGGCGGAACUCCUGGAAUCGUGGGGCACAGCCCAGCCGGGCCUCCCCAAAGCGGCUCCAGCCCAUGAAGAGGAAGGUGCCUGGGCCCGGGUGGACGCCACAGCGCAGUGGGGUACGAAUGGAGGUCAGCCCCUGGUCCCCGGAUCGCCCCGCCUGGAACAGCGGCGGUGUCUGGCGGAGGACACGGGCGGCCACCACAGUGAUGACAGACUCCUGCAGCUCCACGUCAUGGGUGACCCCAUGGAUGAUCCCGUGAAUUACUGUGGGGAGGCAUGUGGCUGCGGUAGGCAUUCAGGGGAAGGCAGGCUCCAGGCUCCCCCCAUGGCGGGGACACUCACCGAAGUCGCUGGUGCAUGCGGCCAGGAGCAGCUCAGCGUCGCUGCAGGGCCUGCAGGCACCUGGCAUGCAGAGGGGGUGGUGAGGAGAGGCCCUGCCCUCUCCCGGCAUCACCCCAGGCCCCGUCCCUUGUCCGCACAAGCGGCAGGAGGCAGCAGGCAAAUGAGCAGAGCCCACGCUCAGGGCCUGAUGGCACCUGGGGGUCCCAGAGAGCUACACAGCAGAUGUGCACGCCCUCGGCGACACCUGUACUCAGGAAACACACUUGCAGGCGCGUACCUCCAAGGCAGGAAUGCACACAGACGUGGGCCUGGGGGCCAUGCCUAGCGAUCAGCUGUCCUGGGCCGCCCUCCUGCACUCCCAUCUGACAUAUGCACCCCAGCAUCUGGGACCCCUCUAGUUUCCCGGAUCUGAGGUCUGAAGAGCAGCAGCCCAGCUAGGGUGAUAGGAAGUGGGGGCAGAGGAAGGGUGGUCUGGGGUCCCUGGCCCAGGGCCAGGGGGCAGAAUAGCGAGAGCCCAUCCCUUUCAGGGUCAGGCGCCAAGCUCCAGGAGAGCCAAGCAAGAGCUGGGCCUGGUGCCCUGCAGGGAGGCGAGCGGCGUCUCCAUGGUGACCGGGCUGCACACUGGACUUUUGUUGGUUGGGCUGGGGGAGGGGAGAGAGGUCACCGCUGGGCCAGGGAGCCCCGGACAGCUUUGGCCGGAGGCUUCGAUUCUGUCCCCACCAUCUCUUCCCCCAACCGUUCAGGGACCAGAGGCCCAGGAUUGCUGGGCCCGGCCUCCCCUUCCCUCCACUCUGCCCCUGCCAGCUCUUUCCAGAGAUGAAUCGGGAAGGGAGGGCGGGGAGGCCAUCCCUCCCCAGCAGUCCCAGGCUGUGUGGCCUGACAAGCCCAUCCAACCCUUGUAGCUCACUUUUUCCUUCUGCAGUGGGGCCGACAAGGCACAUUCCCGCCAAGCCCAGGCAGGGUAAGACUUCGGGACUCCCACCCUGUCCCAACCAGACCGCCACUCACCGUCUACGCCGAGACCGUGGGCCUGCGGGGGCAGCUCGGGGCGCCCGUCCUCGCGCAGCUCAAAGCGGAAGGCGGCCACGCGGCGGCUGAUGUCCUGGUGCGGCGUGGCCUGCAGGAAGAGG
rnacentral:lncRNA from 1 species